GGGGCGAGCGUCAGCUUCCUGGCUCUGGGCUUCUCCAGCGUGGACAUGAGUCUGUGCGUGCUGCUGUACGCCGCCUCCUGCGUCUUCCUCAUGUUCAUGUUCUUCUUCUUCCGCGCGCGCUCACGCCGAUGGAAGGUGCGCGCCAACCGGCCCUUCGUAUAGCACAGCGCCCUCUGCUGGUCCCCCACACACACUGGACUCCUCUCUCCCUUACUCCUCCUUCUUAAUCAUGAGUCAUGCUAUCUCUCUCUACUGUCUCUCUUCCUCUUUCCUUCUCUUUCCUUCUCUUCUCUUCUCUUCUCUUCUCUUCUCUUCUCUUCUCUCUCUCUCACUGUGUAUUUCUCUCACUUUGUCUCCUCUUUUUCACUUCUUCUGUCUUCUAUCACGUGCUUCUCCUCCACUGGAUAAGGAAGAGGUGGCAGAAGAGGAACUGAGGACUUGUAUUUAUUUGUCUGUGUGUUUCCAUGUUGUGAUCGUGUUGUAAAAGACAAGACCAUCUUCCGAUGAAGGACAAAACUAAAUCACCUUGAAGUGUACCAACAAGUCCAACGCCUUUGUACAGAUAUUAUGCCAGGAUUUAACAUACACAAAUUUAAAUGGUUAAAAUGAAAAGAACAUAUUUUAAUGAUGACCGAUUGUGAUAUGUAUGCCAGAUUGAGCUAUUUUUAUGUGGACCUAACUACUUGGGUAUUUGUAAAGAUUUUUAUGAAGUUGAAAGAACUCAUGGUCCUCUCCACAGUAGAACUCUCAUUGUGCUGCCAGAACCUCAGUGGUUCCGUGGGGUCCAGAACCUCAGUGGUUCCGUGGGGUCUAGAACCUCAGUGGUUCCGUGGGGUCCAGAACCUCAGUGGUUCGGUGGGGUUCUGAUACGCAAAAUGAAACAAAUGAUUGCCACCUUCUGCACAAUGUCAAUGCAGACACUCUUUCCUUAAUUAUGUUGAACUGUUUAGCAGAAUUGAUAGGGAUUAUUGUUUGAUUCUAUGUUAUAAUAGUCUGGUAGCCCCUUCUGAGAUGCUGUGGGAAAUGGCUGCAGGAACUCGUGAUUUUUAUUUGUUGCAACUCUGGUGAAUAUUUAUUUACAUGCCGACUUGUUCUGUUUCUGUUUACUAAAAUGACUACAGUGGUAUUGUAGUGUUAACGGAGAUUCAUCGUCAUGUUGAAGCUAGUAUUGCGGUUCACUCAGUUGGUAUUUUAACGUCAUUUUAACGUAAUUUUACUGUUUUCAGUGAAGCAUCGGUAGCGGGAUGUGGGGAUGAUUGUGCUCGCGCAUCACCGUCAGGGAACGGCUGCUUCUGCUUGAUGUGUGGUCAGAACUGGACCAAGCCAUCGGGCCACGCCUAGGGGCGCCGGAACCUUCUCUGUGGCGGUCACCCUUAUCGGCAGCCUGUGUCCCACCACCAAUGUGAAUCCCUACAGAGCAGUUGGGUUCUCUGAAUGAGUGAAUGAAUGAAUGAUAAACUAACAGCAGACCUCUUUGUAUUCCAAGAUGAGUUGUGUUGAAGGGAUGGUGUGGUGACAUGGUGGACACCCUCUCCUCUGGACGCUGGUGUGUGUGUGUGUGUGUGUGUGUGUGUGUGUGUGUGUGUGUGUGUGUGUACGUACGUACGUGUGUACGUGUGUACGUGUGUGUGUGCAACAAGAGCUUUGAGGGUAGUGAUGGUGUUGUAGUCAAGGCUGUGUUUUCCUCAAAUGAUUCCGACUCCUUCUACUUGAACAUUCGGUCGACACACACACACAUCUGAGGUGUUGUACUCUCUGGAGGAGCUUCAGGCUGUGGAUGGACAAGUGGAGUUGUGUUUGUGAACAUGGGAGUGACGUCGCUCACAAGGCUCAUUGCUUCUGGUGUGUGUGUGGUGUGUUUGUGAACAUGGGAGGCUCAUUGCUUCUGGUGUGUGUGUGGUGUGUUGGAUAGCGCUCUGUGUUCUGGGAGAGCUGUGAGUGGCCAUGGAGGAGGUGUGUCUGUAAGGGCAGUACAGUGAAGUGACCUUUGAGCUGCUCCAAAUGAUCUAUUUUCAAUCUCAUAGCAUCUUUUUUUUAAGUUCUUUAACAGUAUGAUAUUUUUAUGUGCAGAGUAUAUUUUGUUUUUUUUUGUAUAUGUGGUCUUGUAUGUUCACAUAGGGAAUUCUUGCAUUUUGUAUAUUUAACAGAAAUAUGCUGAAUUUGUGAUUUUUGUGUCUCUGAAAAUAAAGAAGAUUUGCAUCAUUCAGCAGUA